GGCAGCAGUAGGGAAUCUUCGUCAAUGGGGGAAACCCUGAACGAGCGAUGCCGCGUGAGUGAUGACGGUCUUUUCGAUUGUAAAACUCUGUGGUUUGGAAAGAACGACCAAAGUAGGAAAUGACUUUGGAGUGACGGUACCAUUCUAGAAAGCCCCGGCUAACUAUGUGCCAGCAGCCGCGGUAAUACAUAGGGGGCGAGCGUUGUCUGGAUUUAUUGGGCGUAAAGCGUGUGUAGGCGGUUUAUUAAGUCUAAGGUUAAAGGCUGAGGCUUAACUUCAGUAUGCCUUGGAAACUGGUAGACUUGAGUAUGGUAGAGGCAAGUGGAAUUUCUAGUGCAGCGGUUAAAUGCGUAGAUAUUAGAAGGAACACCAGUGGCGAAGGCGGCUUGCUGGGCUAUUACUGACGCUGAGACACGAAAGCGUGGGGAGCAAAUAGGAUUAGAUACCCUAGUAGUCCACGCCGUAAACGAUGAGUGCUAAGUGU
rnacentral:rRNA from 1 species